rnacentral:rRNA from 1 species
GAGUUUGAUCCUGGCUCAGGAUGAACGCUAGCGGCAGGCUUAACACAUGCAAGUCGAGGGGCAUCGGGAGGGAAGCUUGCUUUCCUUGCCGGCGACCGGCGCACGGGUGAGUAACACGUAUGCAACCUGCCCUCUUCAGGGGGACAACCUUCCGAAAGGGAGGCUAAUCCCGCGUAUAUCGGUUUCGGGCAUCCGAGAUCGAGGAAAGAUUCAUCGGAAGAGGAUGGGCAUGCGGCGCAUUAGCUUGACGGCGGGGUAACGGCCCACCGUGGCGACGAUGCGUAGGGGUUCUGAGAGGAAGGUCCCCCACACUGGUACUGAGACACGGACCAGAUUCCUACGGGAGGCAGCAGUGAGGAAUAUUGGUCAAUGGGAGAGAUCCUGAACCAGCCAAGCCGCGUGAGGGAAGACGGCCCUAUGGGUUGUAAACCUCUUUUGUCGGAGAACAAAACCCGGGACGUGUCCCGGACUGCGUGUAUCCGAAGAAAAAGCAUCGGCUAACUCCGUG